UACAGGGGGGGCAAGCGUUGUUCGGAAUUACUGGGCGUAAAGGGCCAGUAGGCGGCCAACUAAGUCACACGUGAAAUCCCCGGGCUUAACCGGGGAACUGCGUCUGAUACUGGAUGGCUUGAGGUUGGGAGAGGGAUGCGGAAUUCCAGGUGUAGCGGUGAAAUGCGUAGAUAUCUGGAGGAACACCGGUGGCGAAGGCGGCAUCCUGGACCAAUUCUGACGCUGAGGAGCGAAAGCCAGGGGAGCAAACGGG
rnacentral:rRNA from 1 species